AUAUAUAUAUAUAUAUAUAUAUAUAUAUAUAUAUAUAUAUAUAUAUAUAUGUGUUACGCCAGCUUGAUGUUCUUGUGUCGUAAACAAUGUACGAGCACAGUGUAAUUUAAGAAUUUGGUAUUUACAACAUAUUAUUAUUAUACUCUGCAUCGAUGAUAAAGAAA